rnacentral:rRNA from 1 species
GACGGAAGGUGCAAGCGUUGCUCGGAAUCACUGGGCGUAAAGGGUGCGUAGGCGGCCGUGCAAGUCUGGCGUGAAAGCCCCGGGCUCAGCCCGGGAAGUGCGCUCGAAACUGCGCGGCUCGAGUGCCGGAGGGGAGAGUGGAAUUCCCGGUGUAGCGGUGGAAUGCGUAGAGAUCGGGAAGAACAUCAGUGGCGAAGGCGGUCUGCUGGGCCGUUGCUGACGCUGAGGCGCGACAGCGUGGGGAGCAAACAGG